GUGGUUUAAUUCGAUGCAACGCGAAGAACCUUACCUACUCUUGACAUCCAGAGAACUUUCCAGAGAUGGAUUGGUGCCUUCGGGAACUCUGAGACAGGUGCUGCAUGGCUGUCGUCAGCUCGUGUUGUGAAAUGUUGGGUUAAGUCCCGCAACGAGCGCAACCCUUAUCCUUGUUUGCCAGCGAGUAAUGUCGGGAACUCCAGGGAGACUGCCGGUGAUAAACCGGAGGAAGGUGGGGACGACGUCAAGUCAUCAUGGCCCUUACGAGUAGGGCUACACACGUGCUACAAUGGCGCAUACAGAGGGCAGCCAACUUGCGAAAGUGAGCGAAUCCCAAAAAGUGCGUCGUAGUCCGGAUUGGAGUCUGCAACUCGACUCCAUGAAGUCGGAAUCGCUAGUAAUCGUGGAUCAGAAUGCCACGGUGAAUACGUUCCCGGGCCUUGUACACACCGCCCGUCACACCAUGGGAGUGGGCUGCAAAAGAAGUAGGUAGUUUAACCUUCGGGGGGACGCUUACCACUUUGUGGUUCAUGACUGGGGUGAAGUCGUAACAAGGUAGCGCUAGGGGAACCUGGCGCUGGAUCACCUCCUUAAACGAUGAU
rnacentral:rRNA from 1 species